GUCUUGGUAGUAUAAACAUUACUUUGGUCUUGUAAACCAAAAAUGAAGAAGCUAUCUUCCCAGGACAUCAAGAAGGGGGGACAAA
ensembl:Mt_tRNA